GAUGAACGCUGACAGAAUGCUUAACACAUGCAAGUCUUUGGUGAAGCUGUGCUUGCACAGCCUAGCCAAGGCGGACGGGUGAGUAACGCGUAAGGAACUUGCCCUGCAGUCAGGGAUAACAGACGGAAACGACUGAUAAGACCUGGUAAAGUCAGGCGGACUCAUGUCCAGCCUGAUGAAAAGGGAUGCUGCAGGAGAGCCUUGCGUCCUAUUAGCUUGUUGGUGGGGUAACGGCCCACCAAGGCAAUGAUAGGUAGCCGGCCUGAGAGGGUGGACGGCCAAAAGGGGACUGGGAGACGGCCCUUACUCCUACGGGAGGCAGCAGUGGGGAAUAUUGGACAAUGGGGGCAACCCUGAUCCAGCAAUUCUGUGUGCACGAUGAAGGUUUUCGGAUUGUAAAGUGCUUUCAGCAGGGAAGAAAAAAAUGACGGUACCUGCAGAAGAAGCGACGGCUAAAUACGUG
rnacentral:rRNA from 1 species